rnacentral:rRNA from 1 species
UGAGACUCUGUGCGCGUGCAUAUCAAUAAGCGGAGGAAAAGAAACUAACUAGGAUUCCCUCAGUAACGGCGAGUGAAGCGGGAAGAGCUCAAAUUUGAAAUCUUCAAGGUUUUACCUUGACGAAUUGUAGUUUAAAGAAGUGUUUUCUGUUGGUGUUUUGGUAAAAGUUCUUUGGAAUAGGACAUCAUAGAGGGUGAGAAUCCCGUAUUUGACCAUUACUUCCAGCGUUGUGAUACACUUUCAACGAGUCGGAUUGUUUGGGAAUGCAGUCCAAAAUGGGUGGUAAAUUUCAUCUAAAGCUAAAUAUUGGCGAGAGACCGAUAGCGAACAAGUACCGUGAGGGAAAGAUGAAAAGAACUUUGAAAAGAGAGUUAAACAGUACGUGAAAUUGUCAAAAGGGAAGCGUUUGACACCAGUGUUGUUUUUCCGAAAAUCAAUUACGAAUGUUUUGUUUUUGAGGAGUUAUGACUUCAUCGGCUUGCUCCUUUCUUUACGAAACUUUCUUAAUGCACUUUUCGGUUAACAAGUCAACAUCAAUUUCUUUUGUUGUAAAAGGGUAUGAGGAAGGUGGCUUUCUUUUCGGAGAAAGUGUUUAUAGCCUUGUGCCUCUACAAUCGGAGAGAUUGAGGUCUGCAGCGUAGAUCCUUCGGGGUUAGAUACAUUGGUGCUAAGCUAUAGCCUUUUAUAGACAACUUGUUGACUAUGCUCUAGUCAUGUAGCUUACUCGCUGAUGCUAUUUUACCUACGCUUAGGAUGUUGACAGCAGUAUAGACUGU